GAUGAAGAACGUAGUGAAAUGCGAUAAGUAAUGUGAAUUGCAGAGUUCAGUGAAUCAUCGAAUCUUUGAACGCACAUUGCGCCCCUUGGUAUUCCGAGGGGCAUGCCUGUUCGAGCGUCAUUACACCACUCAAGCACUGCUUGGUAUUGGGCACUCGUCCGUCGAAAGACGGGCGUGCCUCGAAGACCUCGGCGGGGUUUCUCCAACUUCGGGCGUAGUAGAGUUAAAUCAAAACGUCUUAUAAGCUUGGUGAAAUCUCAUUGCCGUUAAACCUUUUUUUUUUCAGGUUGACCUCGGAUCAGGUAGGGAUACCCGCUGAACUUAAGCAUAUCAAUAAGCGGAGGA
rnacentral:misc_RNA from 1 species